CCCAGGCAGGCGUGCCCUCGGCCAAGAGGCCUCGGGCGCAACUUGCGUUCAAAGACUCGAUGGUUCGCGGGAUUCUGCAAUUCACACCAGGUAUCGCAUUUCGCUACGUUCUUCAUCGAUGCGAGAGCCGAGAUAUCCGUUGCCGAGAGUCGUGUGGAUUAUAUAGAAUUGCAACUCGGGGUGCGGCUAGCAAGCCAGCCACAUCCCCUCGUUAGGCACAGUGUUCCUUGACGCCUWCGGCGCCGUGGGUUCUUUUACCCCGAGCCC
rnacentral:rRNA from 1 species